GACCCUCGAGGCCUGUUCCAGAAACACCAGGAAGAGGAGCUGGAAGAGAGAAGGAAGUUGUACCGGUGGGGAAACUUGAAGGAUGGGUUAAUUCUGAAUGUGGCUGGGGCAAAACUAUGUGACCUCCCUGUGGAUGAGCAAUUUCUGGAAGACAAGAGUGUUGACUUUAAGGUUUCGCUGGCCAAAGGAGCGCGUGCGGGACUCCUGGAAGGAAGAUGCCUUAUUUGGGUACCAGUUUCUUAAUGGCGCCAACCCCGUGGUGCUGAGGCGCUCUGCUCACCUUCCUGCUCGCCUAGUGUUCCCUCCAGGCAUGGAGGAACUGCAGGCCCAGCUGGAGAAGGAGCUGGAGGGAGGCACAUUGUUCGAAGCUGACUUCUCCCUGCUGGAUGGGAUCAAGGCCAACGUCAGUCUCUGUAGCCAGCAGCACCUGGCUGCCCCUCUGGUCAUGCUGAAACUGCAGCCUGAUGGGAAACUCUUGCCCA
rnacentral:lncRNA from 1 species